CAGCAUACAAACUAAAUGUUUCCGGUGAUUAGUUGCAUCCUCUGUUCCGACUUCGGUGAUUCGGGUGAAUGUUUUGACCAGCUGGACGAUGUGAACGCAAGAUAAAUAGAACAGACAUCAUAAAGUACAGCCCAGUGAAAGGAACAAGUUCAUCGCAAAAAGAAGAAUUUUAAUGCUACCAUUGUCCAGAACUACUAAGUCUGCUGUAGCCAUGAUGAGAUCAUAUGAGUGCUUCACCGGUCUGGACAAUGCUCGAAAGUCCCCUAAAAAGGCCUAUUUCAAUAAACUACGACUCGGGUUACAUCAACAACAGCCAAGGACACUCCUUAUUGAUUCGAAUGGACACAUCUCUACGACCCGACUAAACCUCUGCAGAACAAGACUUUUUAACUGGAAAGUAUUCUCAUUUCAAAAAACCUAUAAACUAUAAAAGUACUUUUUUAUAUGAUCAAAUACCAGUAUAUUACAAUGUCUGUCUGUAAGCUAGAAUCUUAGAAAAUCACAUGGUUUUGACUUAUUAAAUGAUUGAUUAGACCUUGCAGAUAUUAACUUUCAUUUUCUUAGAUAAUUUGUUAUAUUUGCAAAUAUUGCAUAAAAUAUUAGACUCCAUGUAACAUAUAUCCUCACACCUCCAAGUUGAUAAGUGUUAACUACUUUUUUUCCAUUUUCUUUGUUUUAACUUAGUUUUUAUUUGCAGCAAUAUAUGAAAAAUUAAGAAACCAAUCUUAAAUGUAAAAACACUGCAUUAGGAGAUGAAUGCAUGGGUCAUAGAAAUGAUAAAAUACACCAAACAAUAUUCAAUUAUGUCGUAUAUGAAAAUAUAUAAAGACAACAUAUACCCCAUGUAUUACAAUUUUUAUAUUACAAAAUUACUUGGAUGGAAAGUUGUUUCCAUGUGGGUUUUAUUUUAAUCUGUGUUAUGUAACUAAUAUAUAAUUGGAAUUAGCUUUUAUAUCAUAAGUAAAAUGCUGGUAUUGAUGAGAAUUGUAUGGUGAAUGAUCUGUGUGAUACUUUGUAUUUUAUACAUUCAUGCUACAAAAAGCAAGUACAUGUACAUGUAGUAAUACUUGUCAUAUAUAAACAAUGUAUAUUUUACUUCAUGUCUUGGAUUUAAAAAUAUUAAUGUAGGUAAAGUAGUGAAAUGUAGGAAGGUAAACCGUGUGUAAAGAAGAAUAUUCAUCAGGAAUGAAGUGUGUUGCAAUCAGCAUAAUUAAUUAAAUGUGUACAUCAUAUUUUUGCACAUGAUUUGACAGACUGCUCCAUUGUUAGCUUUUUAUUGGCCAACAAGCUUUUCAUAUCUCCCUCUGGGUCAUCUAUUAAAUACUGACAGGCUUAUGAUAUUAAAAUCUGAUCAGUUGGUACAUCAUGGGUGGAAAUGAAAAGUUCACUUUGGACUUAAUGGAUUAUCAAAAAAAUGAUAUCAAAUCCUGUUCUAUUGUAAAACAUUAGAUUAUAUUACUAACAAAGAAAAGGUUUAUCCCAACUUGUAAGUGGGUCACUUUGACCUCAUUUUGGAAUUUAUUGACGUAUUCAAAUCAAAUAUGGGUCAUACCUCUAUAGUCAACUACUAUCUUGUAGUGUUUUUUUUGUUUUUUUAAAAGAUGGAUACUUUAGACUUUUCAAAAAUAUUUUAUGGUGUACAUAUUCAUUGUAGUUCAAAACAAAUUGAGACAAGUGUAUCAUGUUCAUGUAACAGUGAAGUUUUCUUUGUUUAUUCAUGUACGUGCAGUUAUUUUGUAAAUUGCAUUCAUAUUUUUAAAAAAGUAAGAUCUUUGUUGCAUUUUUAAAGGGAGAUUUGAUAGGCAUUUAAUCGAGAUGAAAAAAAUACAAAUGUAAAGAUUUCUAUGGGAGUUUUUUUUCUUGUGCAAUUUUAUCAUUUUUUUAAAUAAAAGUCCCUAAUAAGGGAAUUGCCAUAUGGAUGUUUCUCCAUUAUUGUAUCUUGGCUGUAUUUUAUUUAUUAUUGGAAACAAUUUCAGAUUUUUGAACAAAAUAAAUUUGGAACUGUUUGAAA